rnacentral:rRNA from 1 species
UAGGGAAUCUUCCACAAUGGACGCAAGUCUGAUGGAGCAACGCCGCGUGAGUAAGAAGGUUUUCGGACCGUAAAGCUCUGUUGUUGGUGAAGAAGGAUAGAGGUAGUAACUGGCCUUUAUUUGACGGUAAUCAACCAGAAAGUCACGGCUAACUACGUGCCAGCAGCCGCGGUAAUACGUAGGUGGCAAGCGUUGUCCGGAUUUAUUGGGCGUAAAGCGAGCGCAGGCGGAAGAAUAAGUCUGAUGUGAAAGCCCUCGGCUUAACCGAGGAAUUGCAUCGGAAAUUGUUUUUCUUGAGUACAGAAGAGGAGAGUAGAACUCCAUGUGUAGCGGUGGAAUGCGUAGAUAUAUGGAAGAAUACCAGUGGCGAAGGCGGCUCUCCGGUCUGCAACUGACGCUGAGGCUCGAAAGCAUGGGUAGCGAACAGGAUUAGAUACCCUGGUAGUCCAUGCCGUAAACGAUGAGUGCUAAGUGUUGGGAGGCUUCCGCCUCUCAGUGCUGCAGCUAACGCAUUAAGCACUCCGCCUGGGGAGUACGACCGCAAGGUUGAAAC